rnacentral:ncRNA from 2 species
UCACCAUAAAGAGUACGUGAGGGACAAGCCCGUUGACCGUACAGCAACCUGCAAAAAUGUAAGGUGCUAAAGCUUGAACGAUGGGACGUGAAUUAUGUUUA